GACGAACGCUGGCGGCGUGCUUAACACAUGCAAGUCGAACGGACAGGCCCUGCUUUUGUGGGUUGCUCGAGUGGCGAACGGGUGAGUAACACGUGAGUAACCUGCCCUUGACUUUGGGAUAACUUCAGGAAACUGGGGCUCAUACCGGAUAGGAGCUCCUGCUGCAUGGUGGGGGUUGGAAAGUUUCGGCGGUUGGGGAUGGACUCGCGGCUUAUCAGCUUGUUGGUGGGGUAGUGGCUUACCAAGGCUUUGACGGGUAGCCGGCCUGAGAGGGUGACCGGCGACAUUGGGACUGAGAGACGGCCCAGUCUCCUACGGGAGGCAGCAGUGGGGAAUAUUGCACAAUGGGCGGAAGCCUGAGGCAGCAACGCCGCGUGCGGGAUGACCGCCUUCGGGUUGUAAACCGCUUUCUCCGGUGACGAAGCGUGAGUGACGGUAAUGGGUAAGGAAGCACCGGCUAACUACGUG
rnacentral:rRNA from 1 species